rnacentral:lncRNA from 1 species
AAACACGUGGACGGUAGGCUCAGACAGACAGGCAGAUUGGCAGACAGACAGACAGAUUGACGGCCCGCCGUGGCUGCGGCUGCUAGAGUGCUGCAGCUCGCAGCCCUUUGCUGGUCUGGGAGCUAUGCAGAGCUCUCCUCCCCCCUUCGGCAGAGCGCAGCAUCAGGCAGCGAAGCGCAAGCCGUCUAGAGGUGUUGCUGGGCCUCAGACGCGCUGGCUCAGCACGAGGGCAAAGGCGCUGUUCCAGCUAGGGACAUGGACAUGGAGAGAUGCGAGGGGAAUGUCAGGUCGACCAGGCUGCGCCUUUAGGUGAGCCGGCUGUUAUCGCGUCGGAUGGUAUUUAGGCAUCCAGCCCAGAGCCAUGUAAAUGAUGGCCCAUGGUCCCCCCGUACAUAGCGCCCCACCGCGUCCCCAACCCAUAAAAUGCGCAGCUGCCGUUUUGUUGGCGUGAAGAUCUCCCAGCAACGCAGAGCUGCUGCUCCUUUCAUACGAACCUGUAUACUUGCUUACUGUCCGAUAACUCCUCCGCCAACAGGACUGCCCGAGAUUCCAGGUUCGAGCCUUGCCGACUGAUCAGAUUUCGCACGAGUUUUUUGCCUGGG